GGCUCCGUAGCUCAGUUGGAUAGAGCAGCCGCCUUCUAAGCGGCAGGUCGCAGGUUCGAAUCCUGCCGGAGUCGCCA
rnacentral:tRNA from 1 species